CAGACAGACAGACAUGGAGAGGUGGGAUCGUGUUGAGAGAGAUCAGGAAGGUCUCGAUGGGCAAGAGAUGCAGAGAAGACAAGAGGUUCCAAGAGCACGUGCACGGAGUUGGGUGCGAUACCCACGAGAAAGAACAUCGGAGUUACUGGACAGGGAACUGAGGAUCUUGGAAGCUCUGACCAGGCAAAGAGGGAGAGACUGUGACCUAGAGACAGAAGCACGUGAGCAAAUAUGAGAACGUGCACGAGAACAAGCGAGAAGAACCAGUCACACAAAACACCCAUGAAGAAAGCAACACGACUAAGGACAGACACAGGAAGUCCCAGGUCCAGCAGCUCAGGGAGGAAGGCAGGGAAGGAGGAGAAGCACCGAGCUGAGAAAUGGGUAAGAAGGGGCUGCCCCAUUUUGGGCCGCAGAGGAGAAAGGGGCAAAGGAGGUGGCCAGAAAGGGCCUGACAAGUUCAACCGGCCAGCAGCUACCACCCUGACCAGAUCCGCAUUCCAGCCCGGCCCCUCACACACUCAGCUCCCAC
rnacentral:lncRNA from 1 species